GACCAGUGUCCAUUUUUAAGUACCCCAAAUCCCUUCUCUUUCCAUCAAUAAUCUCCGUUCUCUCGCCGAGAAAGAGAGGAAAAGAGAGAAGAGGAUGACUCAAGACGUGGAGAUGGGGGAGCUACAGGCGGCGGCGGCGGCGGCGGCGGCGGCGGCGGCUCCCACCAACUCCGUCUCCUCCGCCACCACCUCUUCCACCCUUCAGCAUUUGAAGGAGAUCGCAGCGUUGAUCGAGAGCGGGGCGUACGCCAAGGAGGUCCGGCGGAUCGUCCGAGCCGUGCGCCUCACCAUGACGCUCCGCCGCAAGCUCCGGGCUGCAGUGAUCGCCUCCUUCCUCAAAUUCGCCCUCCCUCCAGUCUCCGAGGCUCAUUCCCGGCUCUCCUCCUACCUUCCCAAGGAAGAUAAACAUGAUAUGGACGUGGAUACGGCAACUUCAGCCGGUCAAGUUCCUUUUAAGUGCUCGCUACCAGAGCUUGAGAUCUACUGUUACUUACUUCUGAUAAUAUUUUUGAUUGACCAAAAGAGAUACGAAGAGGCUAAAGCUUGUUCCUCUGCAAGUAUUGCUCGCCUUAAGAAUUUGAACAGAAGAACCGUGGAUAUUUUAGCAUCUCGGCUGUACUUUUAUUAUUCCUACAGCUAUGAACUUACAAACAGUCUAGCUGAAAUUCGUGGGACCCUCCUUGCCUUGCAUCGCAUGGCCACCUUACGGCAUGAUGAGCUGGGUCAGGAAACACUUCUCAACUUGCUUCUCCGCAAUUACCUCCAUUAUAACUUGUAUGACCAGGCUGAGAAACUGAGGUCUAAGGCACCGCGUUUUGAAGCACAUUCCAAUCAGCAGUUUUGCCGCUACCUGUUUUACGUAGGAAAGAUCAGGACCAUUCAGUUGGAAUACACUGAUGCCAAAGAAAGCCUCCUGCAAGCUGCUCGAAAGGCGCCUGUUGGAGCACGAGGUUUUCGAAUCCAAUGCAACAAGUGGGCUGUUAUAGUCCGGUUACUUCUAGGGGAAAUCCCUGAGAGAACUGUUUUUAUGCAGAAAGGCAUGAAGAAGGCUUUAACACCCUAUUUUGAGCUUACAAAUGCUGUGCGAAUUGGAGAUCUGGAGCUGUUUAGGACCGUUGCAGAAAAAUUUGCUGGCACUUUCAGUUCAGAUAGGACCCGUAAUUUGAUUGUGAGGUUGCGCCAUAAUGUGAUUCGAACUGGACUCCGCAAUGUCAGCAUUUCUUACUCGUCCAUAUCCUUGGCUGAUGUUGCCAGAAAGUUGAGAUUGGACUCUGAUAAUCCAGUGGCAGAUGCUGAGAGCAUUGUAGCCAAGGCCAUCCGAGAUGGAGCAAUUGAUGCAACAAUUGAUCAUGCUAAUGGAUGGAUGCUAUCCAAAGAGACUGGUGAUGUCUACUCCACAAAUGAACCCCAGAUUGCGUUCAAUUCGAGGAUUGCCUUUUGCCUUAACAUGCACAAUGAAGCGGUUAGAGCGCUGAAGUUUCCACCAAACUCCCACAGGGAGAAGGAAAGUGCAGAGAAGAGACGUGAGAGGCAGCAGCAGGAGCAGGAGCUUGCUAAACAUAUUGCAGAGGAGGAUGAUGAGUUUUAGUUGGGACUUAUUCCUUUUUUAUGGUUCCAUAUGCUGUUCAACAAACUAAAUUUUUGUUGAAGCAAUGUUGGCUUGAAAUACUGGUGUGCAUGAUGUGGUACUGGCAGCUAUUAAAGCACAUUUAUGACAAUUGAGCUGGAUUGGGCUGAGCAAGCGCUUCUAACUUUCUUCAGCUUGCAAGCUCCAGGGGGGAUAAAGCGAAGGCAAUGCAGCAGAACCGGGUAAAACAAUUAACCGAUGCUUCAAUGCUACACGACUAGGGUUUCAAGUCAUCGUAUACAAGUCAACCUUUUCAGCUUGCUAUGACUUUUGUACACGGUUUAUGUAAUUAAUAUUGCAAUGCGGGAUUGAAGAAUGUGUACUCUGGUUUGAAAAGCUCAUCUCUUGUUGUUUGUACUAA